UACGUAGGGACCGAGCGUUGUCCGGAAUCAUUGGGCGUAAAGAGCGUGUAGGCGGCCACUUAAGUCCUGCGUGAAAUCUUGCGGCUCAACCGCAAGCGGUCGUGGGAAACUGGGUGGCUAGAGUGCGGGAGAGGAGAGUGGAAUUCCUGGUGUAGCGGUGGAAUGCGCAGAUAUCAGGAAGAACACCCGUGGCGAAGGCGGCUCGCUGGAACGCAACUGACGCUGAGACGCGAAAGCGUGGGGAGCAAACAGG
rnacentral:rRNA from 1 species